CUCUGAUGGCGUCUGCAUUAUUGCGUUGCGUCCACAAACUAAUUCUGCUUUUUGGCCAUGGGAAUGAUGGCCUGGGUGCACCAAAAAUUCAGCAGGCGGUUACAACGGCCCGUGCGUACGUGUGCGUGGCAGACAUGACUGGCCGGCAGUCCCAGCAUUCAGGGGAAGGGGCUGUCGUGCCGUGGGGACCGGCGGAAUCCAAGAAUUUCCCAGGAAAUUCGUUACGAAAUUCCGGUCAAUCAGAUAAAAUUGUAUAAUUUAUGAUGCUAUAUACGUACAAUAUUGCAAAAAAGUAUAUUUCUA